ACAUUAUCACACUUUUUAAUAUCUGGCCAGAGGUCAGCCUCUUCCCACCCUGGCUUCGGGGCUUUCCUCAGACCUUCUCCCUCUUCUCCCAACUUCUCCCUUCCCUUUAAUCUCAUUGUGUGGCUUUGUCACAGUUACUGACAAAGAGGAUUUUAUAAAAAGUUAUUGUGUUCAUAAGCCAUAAGGAAUUUUCUCUUCCUGAGAGCAGUUUUAUUUGGCUAAAUAGUUCUUUUUUUCAGAAUGUGCCCUGAAAACUGCUCUUUCACUGAUCUGCUGUUCAUUUCAGGUUUGUAUAGCUUCCAACAGCAACCAUGGCCAACUCUGGUCCCCCUGCCAGUGGCUUUGUGGUUGUCACUCAUGUUUACCCACAACAAGGUGCCCAAAGUGCCACUUCACCCCAGAGCGGAGUCGUUCCACCAGUCUCCUCUCGGCUUGGGAAAUUCCUAAAAGGAGAACCAGCAGCCCUGGGGACAGUUCAAAUUAUGGUUGGCGUGGUUGGGUUCUUGUUUGGUAUCGUGACUGCAUUUGAUGUAACCAUAUCCAAGUUCUCUGGUAUCAUGUUCUGGGGAGCCAUCAUCUACAUCACUGCUGGUUCUCUCACUGUUAGAGCCAAUAAGAAGCUCAAUUCAUGUUUGGUGAGUAUUUGAUGAUGGAUCAUUCAACACUGACAACACGCCUGUACCUUAAUGCAACAUCUGAAAUACAUUACAUUCACACUACCUUUCAGUUUUCAUGUCUCUUUGCAGAAGACCUUUCGUUUAUUUUCAAUGAAACAAUCAUAAGAUAACAUCAAGUAUAUGAGUAGUUUAAUAAUUCUCUGUGAUUGUGAGGCAAUAUGAAGGAUGUAUUAAUUCUGGAGAGAACUUUGGGCUAUGGACGCUAACUGCAUUAAAUUCAUCGUUGGAGCCACUUAUGAUGUCCUCCCAACUCCGCAGAACCUCAGUCAGUGGGUGGGUGAAGACAGAAGCUGCAUUUGGUGUUGGCUCAUUAAAACACGUUUUGGGUGUGAAACUAGCCUGACCCAGGGUCGCUACACAAGGAGAUAUAAUCAGGUUUAAAAAUAAUUUGCAUGUUUGUUUGAGAAUAAACAAGUUUAUAUUAAGUCUUUGCCGGUUAAUGACAGGGACAGUGAGUUUUCUUUUGUGAAAGAGGGGCAGAAAAGGGGACACCAGGCACGUACAAACAGUACUGGCAAAUGGGGCAAAGCAUGGGAUUGGAGAUAGUUGGCUGAUGUGGGAAGACAACUUUAAGUUCCACAGUGUAUUGUUGUGACUGCUAUGGGACCAGACAUGGUGUUGUAUUCUGAGUGUGAGCGCAUUAUUUACUUUAUUAAGUUAACGAUUGAAGAUGUGAUUGAGGGAGCAUUUGAAAGGAGGAAGCUAAAGUAUGUGGAACUGGUAGCAGAGGCGAGGCAACAAGGUCGGUAAGCACACACACACACACACGACCAGUGGAGAUAGCUGUUUGAGGCUUUGUAGCUAAAUGAGCCAUAACAGUUCUGUUUGUUUUUUUAAGGAUGGUCACUCAAAAGAACUUUAAAGGAGUCAUCUGAGGCUGCUGAUAAAGUGAGCCAGUGGUUGUGGCUGAGGUGCUCACAGGGGCUGUGAAUUAACCUGAACUAACACUGAGAUAUGUGAAAUAUUGUCAAGGUGUAUCUUGAGGUGUAUCGGUUGUUGUCU